GGGAUACUAGCUCAGUUGGUAGAGCACCUGACUUUUAAUCAGGUUGUCGGGGGUUCGAAUCCCCCGUGUCUCACGA
rnacentral:tRNA from 1 species